rnacentral:rRNA from 1 species
AAAGGGCUGCAGUAUUUUGACUGUACUAAGGUAGCAUAAUAAAUAGUCUUUUAAUUGAAGACUUGUAUGAAUGAUUGGAUAAAAUAUAAACUGUCUUAAGUUAAUAUAAAAAAUUUAAUUUUUUUUUUAAAAAGAAAAAAUUUAUUUAAAAGACGAGAAGACCCUAUAGAGUUUUAUAAUUUUUUUUUUAUUAAAAAUUAUAAAUUUUUAAUUUAUAAAUUAAUUAAUUUAUUUUAUUGGGGUGAUAGUAAAAUUUAAAUAACUUUUAUUUUAAGAUAACAUAAAUUUAUGAUUAUUAUAUCUUUUUUUGAUAUAAAAUUAAAUUACCUUAGGGAUAACAGCGUAAUUUUUUUUUUUAGUUCUUAAAAAAAAAAUAGUUUGCGACCUCGAUGUUGGAUUAAAAUAAAAUUUAAAUGUAAAGAUUUAAUAUUUUUAAUCUGUUCGAUUAUUAAAAUUUUACAUGAUCU